AUUGAACGCUGGCGGCAGGCCUAACACAUGCAAGUCGAACGAGAGGCGGACGGGUGAGUAAUGUCUGGGAAACUGCCCGAUGGAGGGGGAUAACUACUGGAAACGGUGGCUAAUACCGCAUACCAUCAGAUGUGCCCAUAUGGGAUUAGCUUUUAGGUGGGGUAACGGCUCACCAAGGCGACGAUCCCUAGCUGGUCUGAGAGGAUGACCAGCCACACUGUGACUGAGACACGGUCCAGACUCCUACGGGAGGCAGCAGUGGGGAAUAUUGCACAAUGGGCGCAAGCCUGAUGCAGCCAUGCCGCGUGUAUGAAGAAGGCCUUCGGGUUGUAAAGUACUUUCAGUCGGGAGGCGGUACCGACAGAAGAAGCACCGGCUAACUCCGUGCCAGCAGCCGCGGUAAUAC
rnacentral:rRNA from 1 species